rnacentral:rRNA from 1 species
AUUGAACAUAAGAGUUUGAUCCUGGCUCAGAUUGAACGCUGGCGGCAUGCUUUACACAUGCAAGUCGGACGGCAGCACAGGGAAGCUUGCUUCUCGGGUGGCGAGUGGCGAACGGGUGAGUAACAUAUCGGAACGUACCGGGUAGCGGGGGAUAACUGAUCGAAAGAUCAGCUAAUACCGCAUACGUCUUGAGAGGGAAAGCAGGGGACCUUCGGGCCUUGCGCUAUCCGAGCUGCCGAUAUCUGAUUAGCUGGUUGGCGGGGUAAAGGCCCACCAAGGCGACGAUCAGUAGCGGGUCUGAGAGGAUGAUCCGCCACACUGGGACUGAGACACGGCCCAGACUCCUACGGGAGGCAGCAGUGGGGAAUUUUGGACAAUGGGCGCAAGCCUGAUCCAGCCAUGCCGCGUGUCUGAAGAAGGCCUUCGGGUUGUAAAGGACUUUUGUCAGGGAAGAAAAGGCUGUUGCCAAUAUCGGCGGCAGAUGACGGUACCUGAAGAAUAAGCACCGGCUAACUACGUGCCAGCAGCCGCGGUAAUACGUAGGGUGCGAGCGUUAAUCGGAAUUACUGGGCGUAAAGCGGGCGCAGACGGUUACUUAAGCAGGAUGUGAAAUCCCCGGGCUCAACCCGGGAACUGCGUUCUGAACUGGGUGACUCGAGUGUGUCAGAGGGAGGUGGAAUUCCACGUGUAGCAGUGAAAUGCGUAGAGAUGUGGAGGAAUACCGAUGGCGAAGGCAGCCUCCUGGGAUAACACUGACGUUCAUGUCCGAAAGCGUGGGUAGCAAACAGGAUUAGAUACCCUGGUAGUCCACGCCCUAAACGAUGUCAAUUAGCUGUUGGGCAACUUGAUUGCUUGGUAGCGUAGCUAACGCGUGAAAUUGACCGCCUGGGGAGUACGGUCGCAAGAUUAAAACUCAAAGGAAUUGACGGGGACCCGCACAAGCGGUGGAUGAUGUGGAUUAAUUCGAUGCAACGCGAAGAACCUUACCUGGUUUUGACAUGUGCGGAAUCCUCCGGAGACGGAGGAGUGCCUUCGGGAGCCGUAACACAGGUGCUGCAUGGCUGUCGUCAGCUCGUGUCGUGAGAUGUUGGGUUAAGUCCCGCAACGAGCGCAACCCUUGUCAUUAGUUGCCAUCAUUCGGUUGGGCACUCUAAUGAGACUGCCGGUGACAAGCCGGAGGAAGGUGGGGAUGACGUCAAGUCCUCAUGGCCCUUAUGACCAGGGCUUCACACGUCAUACAAUGGUCGGUACAGAGGGUAGCCAAGCCGCGAGGCGGAGCCAAUCUCACAAAACCGAUCGUAGUCCGGAUUGCACUCUGCAACUCGAGUGCAUGAAGUCGGAAUCGCUAGUAAUCGCAGGUCAGCAUACUGCGGUGAAUACGUUCCCGGGUCUUGUACACACCGCCCGUCACACCAUGGGAGUGGGGGAUACCAGAAGUAGGUAGGGUAACCGCAAGGAGUCCGCUUACCACGGUAUGCUUCAUGACUGGGGUGAAGUCGUAACAAGGUAGCCGUAGGGGAACCUGCGGCUGGAUCACCUCCUUUCUAG